GGGGAAUAUUGGACAAUGGGGGCAACCCUGAUCCAGCCAUGCCGCGUGUGUGAAGAAGGCCUUGGUUGUAAAGCACUUUCAGUGGGGAGGAAUUGUAGUGUGUUAAUAGCGCAUUAUUUGACGUUACCCACAG
rnacentral:rRNA from 1 species